rnacentral:rRNA from 1 species
AGCAGCCGCGGUAAUUCCAGCUCCAAUAGCGUAUAUUAAAGUUGUUGCAGUUAAAAAGCUCGUAGUUGAAUUUCGGGGUUAGUAAGUUGGUCGUGCCACUGGUAUGUACUGGCUUUACUGAUUCCUCCUUCUUGUAGAACCGUAAUGCCAUUAAGUUGGUGUUGCGGGGAAACAGGACUGUUACUUUGAAAAAUUAGAGUGUUUAAAGCAAGCUAACGCUUGAAUACAUUAGCAUGGAAUAAUGAAAUAGGACGUUCGAUCCUAUUUUGUUGGUUUCUAGGAUUGACGUAAUGAUUAAUAGGGAUAGUUGGGGGCAUUAGUAUUCAAUUGUCAGAGGUGAAAUUCUUGGAUUUAUUGAAGACUAACUACUGCGAAAGCAUUUGCCAAGGAUGUUUUCAUUAAUCAAGAACGAAAGUUAGGGGAUCGAAGACGAUCAGAUACCGUCGUAGUCUUAACCAUAAACUAUGCCGACUAGGGAUCGGAUGAUGUUAAUUUUAUAAUGACUCAUUCGGCGCCUUAC